UACGAAGGGGGCUAGCGUUGCUCGGAAUCACUGGGCGUAAAGGGUGCGUAGGCGGGUCUUUAAGUCAGGGGUGAAAUCCUGGAGCUCAACUCCAGAACUGCCUUUGAUACUGAAGAUCUUGAGUUCGGGAGAGGUGAGUGGAACUGCGAGUGUAGAGGUGAAAUUCGUAGAUAUUCGCAAGAACACCAGUGGCGAAGGCGGCUCACUGGCCAGAUACUGACGCUGAGGCACGAAAGCGUGGGGAGAAAAAAGG
rnacentral:rRNA from 1 species